AUGCCGACCAUCACGCACUACGUCUUGGACCCCUUCCUGGAGACCGGCUCCCUUCCCAACCUCCAGAAGCUUGUUCCCAAGCCGCCUCCAGCUGCGCCGCUACCCCCUGAGAAGUCCUCCGAGAAGCCCAUACCUGUGCCGGUGGCUCCUGCCAGGACCAGCACCUUGCCAGCGCUCUACUCCACGCCCGAGAGCACGCCGCUGCCAGACUCGCCGUCAUCGUUCCCUGGAACCUGGUCGCCGUAUCUCAUCAACCAUAAACGCCGUGGACCUGGCCUGAUCAAGACAUCUUCCCAGGGCGAUGUCGGAAGUGAGGGUAGCCUGCCGAAGUUUCCCGAGGGGCUGCCUGCUUUGCCGAAAAAGUCUGAAGCCUUUCGAGUGCAGGAGUCUGAGUUUAGGUUCUCACAAGAGAGUGAUGGUGUGGUUAACAAUGGUGUGAAGGAGACCUUGGAUGGGCAGAAUGAAGGGGUGCAGAAAGGCAAGGCGACCCAUUUCGGCCAAGAUGAGCAGGAUCAGCCCGAGUUCGAGUUUCGGCAUGAAAGUCCAGAUGCGUUGGUGAGGCCUGUCAAUGUUGGAAGGCUUGUCAACAAUGGAAUGCCAAGAGAUGGCGAAAAUGAUGCCUUCCUUGAACCUCAGGAUUCACAGAGUGUGACUAGUAACUCUGAGGCUGAGGAUGCUGGUGGGCAGGGGUGGUGGAAGCCCAGUUCUCCUUAUGGGACGUCUGUUGGCACACCUGGUGCAGAAUUUUACGACGCAUUUGAAGAAAUAUCAAGCGAUGGUGCAACUCGAUCUUCUCGAUGUAUUGAUGACGAAUACCGUGAAAUGCGGUUAAGCAUGUUGACAGAAAUUGAGGGUAGGAAACAAGCUGAGGAGGUAGCUGAGACCUGGCAAAAGGAAUGGAAGAAGCUUAGUCAUCACCUAUCGCUGAUCGCCUUGUCACUUCCAUCUCCAACUGUAGCUGAGAACGAUGAUGAUACAAGUGCGGAUCCUGGAGCUGAGUUGUGCCAACAAAUAACUGUUUCACAACUGGUAUCUGCUGCUAUUGCCCGGGGAAUUGCUCGUGUAGAAGUUGAGUCAGAGAUGGAAAGUGUGAUUUCAGCAAAGAACUUUGAGAUCGCAAGGCUAUCAGAUAGGGUCCAGUACUAUGAAGCAGCAAACAGGGAGAUGUCUCAAAGAAACCAAGAAGCUAUCGAGAUGUCCAGGCAACAGCGGAACAAGCGUAAAAUGAGGCAGAAGUGGUUCUGGGGUUCAGUUGGCAUAGCAGUUACCCUCGGCACAGCAGCCAUUGCCUGGUCCUACAUGCCGGCGAGCCAGUCCCAGGCAGGGGACUCGAAUAGCACCAACACCAACAGCGAUUAG
rnacentral:rRNA from 1 species